UACGUAGGGUGCGAGCGUUAAUCGGAAUUACUGGGCGUAAAGCGUGCGCAGGCGGUUUUGUAAGCCAGAUGUGAAAGCCCCGGGCUCAACCUGGGAAUGGCAUUUGGGACUGCAAGGCUUGAGUGCGGCAGAGGAGACUGGAAUUCCUGGUGUAGCAGUGAAAUGCGUAGAUAUCAGGAGGAAUACCUAUGGCGAAGGCAGGUCUCUGGGCUGACACUGACGCUCAUGCACGAAAGCGUGGGGAGCAAACAGG
rnacentral:rRNA from 1 species